GACGAACGCUGGCGGCGUGCCUAAUACAUGCAAGUCGAACGCUUUUUCUUUCACCGGAGCUUGCUCCACCGAAAGAAAAAGAGUGGCGAACGGGUGAGUAACACGUGGGUAACCUGCCCAUCAGAAGGGGAUAACACUUGGAAACAGGUGCUAAUACCGUAUAACACUAUUUUCCGCAUGGAAGAAAGUUGAAAGGCGCUUUUGCGUCACUGAUGGAUGGACCCGCGGUGCAUUAGCUAGUUGGUGAGGUAACGGCUCACCAAGGCAACGAUGCAUAGCCGACCUGAGAGGGUGAUCGGCCACACUGGGACAGAGACACGGCCCAGACUCCUACGGGAGGCAGCAGUAGGGAACCUUCGGCAAUGGACGAAAGUCUGACCGAGCAACGCCGCGUGAGUGAAGAAGGUUUUCGGAUCGUAAAACUCUGUUGUUAGAGAAGAACAAGGAUGAGAGUAAAAUGUUCAUCCCUUGACGGUAUCUAACCAGAAAGCCACGGCUGACUACGUGCCAGCCGCCGCAGUAA
rnacentral:rRNA from 1 species